GACGAACGCUGGCGGCGUGCUUAACACAUGCAAGUCGAACGGAAAGGCCCUGCUUUUGUGGGGUGCUCGAGUGGCGAACGGGUGAGUAACACGUGAGUAACCUGCCCUUGACUUUGGGAUAACUUCAGGAAACUGGGGCUAAUACCGGAUAGGAGCUCCUGCUGCAUGGUGGGGGUUGGAAAGUUUCGGCGGUGGGGGAUGGACUCGCGGCUUAUCAGCUUGUUGGUGGGGUAGUGGCUUACCCAGGCUUUGACGGGUAGCCGGCCUGGGAGGGUGACCGGCCACAUUGGGACUGAGAUACGGCCCAGACUCCUACGGGAGGCAGCAGUGGGGAAUAUUGCACAAUGGGCGGAAGCCUGAUGCAGCAACGCCGCGUGCGGGAUGACGGCCUUCGGGUUGUAAACCGCUUUCGCCUGUGACGAAGCGUGAGUGACGGUAAUGGGUAAAGAAGCACCGGCUAACUACGUG
rnacentral:rRNA from 1 species